rnacentral:rRNA from 1 species
GCGAGGUUAAAAAUGAUAUUACCAAUCGCGAGUCAUUGCAGCGAUGUAAGGCAGAGGGCUCAGCAACGCCUACUCUAUCUACCCUAUGGACGGGGAUAACCUCGGGAAACUGACCUUAAUACCCGAUCGGCCAGCAUGCCUGGAAUGUUUCGUGACCCAAAUGAUUCUUCGCCGUAGGAUGGGACUGCUCCCUAUCAGCUUGUUGGUGAGGUAAUGGCCCACCAAUGUUAUUACAGAUACGGUCUCUGACAUGAGUGGCCCGGAGAUGGGUCCUGAGACACCGACCCAGGCCCUAUGGGGCGCAGGAAUUGAGAAAACUUUGCCGUGUGCCAUAGCACGACCCGGUUAAUCCCAUCGUUCUCUGCUCAUCCAAUCUUUCACGCGUCGUAAGCCCACCGGACACCAAGGGGUGCGUAUUUUCUGCUGCCUGCCGGCGUCGUUAAUUCCGCUCCUCAAGUGGGUCGGAUGAUUAUUGGCUCUAAAGAAUCCGUAUCCCGCUUUGUUACUUUUCCGCUUAUUCUGUGCUCUUCACCGCCAGGCUUCCGGGGAAACUGUACAUCUUUGGGGGGGCGUGGGGCAACCGGGCUCCGGAAGGAAGGGUUAAAUCCCUUGUUUUUUGAUGAACACCUGUGGGGGAGGCGUCUUCCCAACGCUUCCGAAGGGGAGGAUUAAAACUGCGGAACAAACCGAUUAAUACCCCGGCGUUCCCCUGUUAAGAAUGAAAAUUUGUGCUCCAUGGCUUGGGGCCAUUCACUGCUGCAGGGAAGCGUUUAUUUUGCCCCCGGGAAG